GACGAACGCUGGCGGCGUUGUUAACACAUGCAAGUCGAGCGAUGAAGUUUCUUCGGAAAUGGAUUAGCGGUGAACGGGUGAGGAACACGUGAAGAAUCUGCCCUCCACUUUGGGAUAACACCGGGAAACCGGUGCUAAUACCGAAUAUUGAAACAUAAGUGGCAUCACUGAGUUUUGAAAGAAUUUCGGUGGAGGAUGACUUCGCGGCCUAUCAGCUAGUUGGUGAGGUAAUGGCUCACCAAGGCAACGACGGGUAGCCGGCCUGAGAGGGCGACCGGCCACACUGGGACUGAGACACGGCCCAGACUCGUACGGGAGGCAGCAGUGGGGAAUAUUGGGCAAUGGAGGAAACUCUGACCCAGCGACGCCGCGUGCGGGAUGAAGGCCUUCGGGUUGUAAACCGCUUUCAGUAGGGAAGAAGCGAAAGUGACGGUACCUACAAAAGAAGCACCGGCUAACUAUGUGCCAGCAGCCGCGGUAAUACAUAGGGUGCAAGCGUUGUCCGGAAUUAUUGGGCGUAAAGAGCUCGUAGGUCGUUUGUUACGUCGGAUGUGAAAACCUGAGGCUCAACCUCAGGCCUGCAUUCGAUACGGGCAAACUAGAGUUUGGUAGGGGAGACUGGAAUUCCUGGUGUAGCGGUGGAAUGCGCAGAUAUCAGGAGGAACACCAAUGGCGAAGG
rnacentral:rRNA from 1 species